rnacentral:rRNA from 1 species
GAUGAACGCUAGCGGCAGGCCUAACACAUGCAAGUCGAGGGGUAGAAGCUUUCGGGCUUUGAGACCGGCGCACGGGUGCGUAACGCGUAUGCAAUCUGCCUUGUACUGAGGGAUAGCCCAGAGAAAUUUGGAUUAACACCUAAUAGUAUUUUAGUGUAGCAUCACAUUACUAUUAAAGGUUACGGUACAAGAUGAGCAUGGGGCACAUUAGCUAGUUGGUAUGGUAACGGCUUACCAAAGCUACGAUGGGUAGGGGUCCUAAGAGAGAGAUACCCCAAACUGGUACUGAGACACGGACCAGACUCCUACGGGAGGCAGCAGUGAGGAAUAUUUGUCAAUGGUCGCAAGACUGAACCAGCCAUGCCGCGUGCAGGAUGAAGCAUCUGUGGUGUGUAAACUGCUUUUGUACGGGAAGAAACACCGCUACGUUUAGCGGCUUGACGGUACCGUAAGAAUAAGGAUCGGCUAACUCCGUGCCAGCAGCCGCCGUAAAAC